ACAUCUAAGUACCCCGAGGAAAAGAAAUCAACCGAGAUUCCCCCAGUAGCGGCGAGCGAACGGGGAGCAGCCCAGAGUCUGAAUCAGCUUGUGUGUUAGUGGAAGCGUCUGGAAAGUCGCACGGUACAGGGUGAUAGUCCCGUACACGAAAGCACACAGGCUGUGAACUCGAAGAGUAGGGCGGGACACGUGGUAUCCUGUCUGAAUAUGGGGGGACCAUCCUCCAAGGCUAAAUACUCCUGACUGACCGAUAGUGAACCAGUACCGUGAGGGAAAGGCGAAAAGAAC
rnacentral:rRNA from 1 species